GGGGCGCCGCUUCGGGAGAGCGGGCAGUUCUAGGAGGCCGACCUGGAGAGCCUCCCGGUUCCCCUUCCCCUUUUCCCGGACCCCGCGGGGACACCCCCUCGCCGCCACCCGGGCCUCCCCGAGGGCCCAACUGCGGGUCAGGCGGCCCGGGCCAGCCGAAAGGGAAGUGGGGCUACCCCACAGCCAGGCAGCGGGGCUGGGGUCAGACCCGGGAGCCGGAGGUUGGAGACGUGCGACAGUCACCUGCGGGCAGAUUCCAGAGGGGAGACCCAGGGCUGCAGGGGACGCCCCUUCGUGGCAGCUACCCAGCCUCGGCCCACUGCCAGGCGGAGGCGAGAGGAUCACUUGAGCAUGGACAUUCAAGACCAGCCUGGGCAGCAAAUGUUACGUGGCUGCAUGACCAUACACUUCUGGGUAGAGCCCAGUGGAAGACAAAGAAGACUCAAGGAAUAGCCCUUGAGGGCUCAGGAGCUAUACAGAUGGGAUAGAGGGUGUGAGUGCUGGGAAGCCCCAUCCAUGGCUCGCUGGAGAUUAGAGGCCUGUUAAUCUGAAGACAAAGGAAUGAAGACGAAAACGUUUCUGAAAAUGUGGGUGGAGACACCUGGGCCUUUACAGGGUACGCUCCAGAGCUGCUUCCAGGCAGGGACCCCGGCUGAGAGAAGCCAGAGCCAGAGAGUCGCAGGCUUGCUUGCUCUUAUCUUCCCUCUGCUGGGGGGGUCGAGGGGAGAUCUGGCCCCUCUGCUCUGCCCUCCUGAUUUCCCGUCUAAGGGAUUUAGGAGACUUUUGCCUUUUCCUAAUCUCUCCCUUUGCAGAAUUUCUGCGAAGUCACAAUCCCAUUUCCAGGCAAAGGUGCUUGGUCAUAAAGAUAAUAAAGAUAUUCAUUCAUGAUGGAGGGG
rnacentral:lncRNA from 1 species